GACAGUUUGGUCGAGUGGUCUAAGGCGUCAGAUUUAGGUUUUGGUGUUAAAGGGCAUGGGUUGAAAUCCUAACAUAGAUGUUA